rnacentral:rRNA from 1 species
AUGUUAUAUUCAUGCCCCAAUCAUCAGCUCUCAAGACAAAUGAUUAUUCAAAAAAUUUAUGCUCGGCUUUCUGAUAACAAUCGCACCAUGCUUGAUACUUCUUGUGCUGGCUCUUUUAUGAUGAAGACUAUUGAAUUCAAAUGGGAUUUAUUGGAAAGAAUUAAACGCAACUCUGAAGAUUGGGACCUCGACAAAGGUAAGGAGUCAGGUAUGACACCUAGUUUUGAUUGUGUUAAAUCUUUUAUGGAUACCGAUGCUUUCCGUAAAUUUAGCACUAAAUAUGGACUUGACUCUGAGAUAGUAGCUUCUUUCUGUGAAUCUUUUACUACUUAUGUUGAGAAACCACCUUUCCCUGUUAGGAUAAAGGAUCAUGCUAAAGCUUCAACUGUGGUUCAUAAAAGCAAUAUUAAAACUUAUGCACCUCCUGAGCAAAUUAAAGUUGAACCUAAUACUGUUAUUGUUAAAGAUCUCUUGUCUGAUUAUAUUGAUGGGCAUGUUAUUUAUUUCUGUGAUGAAACUGCUAGAAUUGCUAAACCUUGUGCUAAAGAUAAACCUAGACAUGUGGUAGGCAUGCAUGUUAUUUCUGUUAAAAUAGGAGAUCAUUGUUAUCAUGGCUUAUGUGAUAUGGGUGCCAGUGCUAGUGCAAUACCUAUUAGCCUAUAUAGAGAAAUCAUGCAUGAUAUUGCACCUGUUGAGUUAGAGGAUAUUGAUGUCACAAUUAAACUUGCCAAUAGAGAUACUAUUUCACCAAUGGGAAUUGUUAGAGAUGUUGAAGUCUUGUGUGGGAAAAAUAAAUAUCUUGCUGAUUUUCUUGUUCUUGGUUCCCCACAAGAUAGCUUUUGUCCCAUUAUAUUUGGUAGACCCCUCUUAAACACUGUUAAUGCUACCGUAGAUUGCAAAAGAGAUGUUGUUACUAUCGGUUUAGAUGAUAUGACUCAUGAAUUUAAUUUCUCUAAAUUUAGUAGACAACACUGUGAAGAAGAAUUAUCUAGUAAGGAUGAAAUUAUUGGUCUUGCUUCUAUUGCCGUACCUCCUAGUGAUCCUUUAGAACAAUAUUUGCUAGACCAUGAAAAUGAUAUGUUUAUGAAUGAAAGGAGGGAAAUAGAUGAAGUAUUCUUUAAACAGGAACCUAUUCUGAAACACAAUUUGCCUAUUGAAAUCCUAGGGGAUCCCCCUCCACCCAAGGGUGAUCCCGUGUUCGAGCUUAAACCGUUGCCUGAUACUCUUAAAUAUGCUUAUCUUGAUGAGAAAAAUAUAUAUCCUGUUAUUAUUAGUGCUAACCUUUCAGAGUAUGAGGAAGAGAUAUUAUUGAAAACUCUGAAGAAGCACAGUGCUGCUAUUGGGUAUAUUCUUGAUCAUCUUAAGGGCAUUAGUCCCACUCUAUGUCAACAUAAAAUUAAUUUGGAAGAAGAUGCUAAACCAGUCCGUGAUCAUCAACGAUAG